UACGUAGGGUGCAAGCGUUAAUCGGAAUUACUGGGCGUAAAGCGUGCGCAGGCGGUUCUAUAAGACAGAUGUGAAAUCCCCGGGCUCAACCUGGGAACUGCAUUUGUGACUGUAGAGCUGGAGUACGGUAGAGGGGGAUGGAAUUCCGCGUGUAGCAGUGAAAUGCGUAGAUAUGCGGAGGAACACCGAUGGCGAAGGCAAUCCCCUGGACCCGUACUGACGCUCAUGCACGAAAGCGUGGGGAGCAAACAGG
rnacentral:rRNA from 1 species